rnacentral:lncRNA from 1 species
ACUCAGAGGUAGCACACCCCUGGGUUGAAUCCUCAGUACCACAAACACACACACACAUACAAAAGAAAGGUAACUUGAAAUACUUUUUUUUAAAAUAUAUUUUUUUAGUUGUAGGUGGACACAAUGCUUUUAUUUUUACUUAUUUUUAUGUGGUGCUGAGGAUCGAACCCAGAACCUCACCUGCACUAGGCGAGCACUUUACCACUAAGCCACAACCCCAGCCCUUGAAAUACUUUAAAUAUUAUGUUUUACUUUUUUUUUUUAAAAGAGAGAGUGAGAG